CCCGAAAAAACGGAAGGAGAAGGAUAAGGAUCUUCUUCAGUGGAUCCCUCUUGUUCCUGUUUAGUCCCCUACAUUUCGGAAGCUGUUUCUAUUUCUACAUCUCUUUCUUCCUCACUUUCCACCCUUUCUUCUGUUUUUGAGGCUUCUUUUAGUUUCUUAGUAAGAAUGGAUCCCUCUUGUUCCUGUUUAGUCCCCUACAUUUCGGAAGCUGUUUCUAUUUCUACGUCUCUUUCUUCCUCACUUUCCACCCUUUUCUUCUGUUUUUGAGGCUUCUUUUAGUUUCUUAGUAAGAAUGGGUGGGGUAUUCUGCCUAAAUAGUAGACACAGGUAAUAAAUAAGAGAAUACUAAAGAUCCGAGCCAUAGAAUUUCUCAAUUCUAAUACAAGGUACUUAUU
rnacentral:lncRNA from 1 species